CAUUACCGAGAUAGGGUCCUCCGGGGCCCGACCCUCCUACCCUUUGUGUAUGUACCUCUGUUGCUUCGGUGGAUCCGGCCGCGGUCGAUCCGCCAGAGGCCCUAUUGAUCCUGAAUGAUUGGUGCUGUCUGAGUCCGCAAGCAAAUACUAAAACUUUCAACAACGGAUCUCUUGGUUCUGGCAUCGAUGAAGAACGCAGCGAAAUGCGAUAAGUAAUGUGAAUUGCAGAAUUCAGUGAAUCAUCGAAUCUUUGAACGCACAUUGCGCCCUCUGGUAUUCCGGGGGGCAUGCCUGUUCGAGCGUCAUUACACCCCUCAAGCUCAGCUUGGUAUUGGGCUUCCGUCCCCGGCGGGCGGGCCUGAAAAUCAGUGGCGGUGCAGCCCGGUGCUCGAGCGUAGUAAUAUUACCUCCCGCUUCGGAGUCACCGGAUGGACCCGCCAGACAACCUCUAUGCCUUUCAAUGGUUGACCUCGGAUCAGGUAGGGAUACCCGCUGAACUUAAGCAUAUC
rnacentral:rRNA from 1 species